UUCGUAGGGGAACGCGGCAGUC
rnacentral:miRNA from 1 species